GCCUGAUCCAGCCAUGCCGCGUGUGUGAAGAAGGCCUUCGGGUUGUAAAGCACUUUAAGUGGGGAGGAAUGGCUCUGGGUUAAUACCCUUGAGCAGUGACGUUACCCACAGAAUAAGCACCGGCUAACUCUGUGCCAGCAGCCGCGGUAAUACA
rnacentral:rRNA from 1 species